UACGUAGGGGGCAAGCGUUGUCCGGAAUCAUUGGGCGUAAAGCGCGCGUAGGCGGUCCGGUAAGUCCGCUGUGAAAGUCGGGGGCUCAACCCUCGGAUGCCGGUGGAUACUGUCGGGCUUGAGUGCGGAAGAGGCGAGUGGAAUUCCUGGUGUAGCGGUGAAAUGCGCAGAUAUCAGGAGGAACACCAAUUGCGAAGGCAGCUCGCUGGGACGUUACUGACGCUGAUGCGCGAAAGCGUGGGGAGCAAACAGG
rnacentral:rRNA from 1 species